rnacentral:rRNA from 1 species
CCUACGGGAGGCAGCAGUGGGGAAUUUUGGACAAUGGGCGAAAGCCUGAUCCAGCAAUGCCGCGUGAGUGAAGAAGGCCUUCGGGUUGUAAAGCUCUUUUGUCAGGGAAGAAACGGUGCGGGCUAAUAUCCUGCACUAAUGACGGUACCUGAAGAAUAAGCACCGGCUAACUACGUGCCAGCAGCCGCGGUAAUACGUAGGGUGCAAGCGUUAAUCGGAAUUACUGGGCGUAAAGCGUGCGCAGGCGGUUUUGUAAGUCUGUCGUGAAAUCCCCGGGCUCAACCUGGGAAUUGCGAUGGAGACUGCAAGGCUAGAAUCUGGCAGAGGGGGGUAGAAUUCCACGUGUAGCAGUGAAAUGCGUAGAGAUGUGGAGGAACACCGAUGGCGAAGGCAGCCCCCUGGGUCAAGAUUGACGCUCAUGCACGAAAGCGUGGGGAGCAAACAGGAUUAGAUACCCUGGUAGUCCACGCCCUAAACGAUGUCUACUAGUUGUCGGGUUUUAAUUAACUUGGUAACGCAGCUAACGCGUGAAGUAGACCGCCUGGGGAUACGGUCGCAAGNUUAAAACUCAAAGGAAUUGACGG